rnacentral:rRNA from 1 species
CGUGUAGGCGGUCGGUCAAGUCCGAUGUGAAAGCCCGGGGCUUACCUCCGGAAGUGCAUCGGAAACUAGCCGGCUGGAGCGCGAUAGAGGAGGGUAGAAUUCCUGGUGUAGCGGUGAAAUGCGUAGAUAUCAGGAGGAAUACCGGCGGCGAAGGCGGCCCUCUGGAUCGUUGCUGACGCUGAGACGCGAAAGCGUGGGGAGCAAACAGGAUUAGAUACCCUGGUAGUCCACGCUGUAAACGAUGGGUACUAGGUGUUCGGGGUAUUGACCCCCUGAGUGCCGCAGCUAACGCAUUAAGUACCCCGCCUGGGGACUACGGCCGCAAGGUUAAA